ACGGGAGGCAGCAGUGGGGAAUAUUGCACAAUGGAGGAAACUCUGAUGCAGCGAUGCCGCGUGAGGGAAGAAGGUUUUCGGAUUGUAAACCUCUGUCUUCAGGGACGAUAAUGACGGUACCUGAGGAGGAAGCUCCGGCUAACUACGUGCCAGCAGCCGCGGUAAUACGUAGGGAGCGAGCGUUGUCCGGAAUUACUGGGUGUAAAGGGAGCGCAGGCGGGAUGGUAAGUUAGGUGUGAAAACUAUGGGCUUAACCCAUAGACUGCACUUAAAACUGCUGUUCUUGAGUGAAGUAGAGGCAGGCGGAAUUCCUAGUGUAGCGGUGAAAUGCGUAGAUAUUAGGAGGAACACCAGUGGCGAAGGCGGCCUGCUGGGCUUUUACUGACGCUGAGGCUCGAAAGCGUGGGGAGCAAACAGGAUUAGAUACCCUGGUA
rnacentral:rRNA from 1 species